rnacentral:lncRNA from 1 species
AUUUAGGGUUUAGGAUUUGGUUAGGAUUUGAUUUAGGGUUAGGAUUUGGUUAGGAUUUGAUUUAAGAUUUAGGAUUUGAUUUAGGAUUUAGGAUUUAGUUAGGAUUUGAUUUAAGGUUAGAAUUUGGUUAGGAUUUGAUUUAGGAUUAGGAUUUUGUUAGGAUUUGAUUUAGGAUUAGGGUUUGAUUUAGGAUUUAGGAUUUGGUUAGGAUUUGAUUUAGGGUUUCGGAUUUUCUUAAGAUUUGAUUUAGAAUUUAGGAUUUGGUUUAGGAUUUAGGAUUUGGUUAGGAUUUGAUUUAAGAUUUAGGAUUUGGUUAAGAUUUGAUUUAGGAUUUAGGAUUUGGUUAGGAUUUGAUUUAGAGUUAGGAUUUGAUUAGGGUUUGAUUUAAGAUUAGGAUUUGAUUUAGGAUUUAGGAUUUGAUUAGGAUUUGAUUUAGGAUUAGAGUUUGAUUUAGGAUUUAAGAUUUAGGAUUGGGUUAAGAUUUGAUUUAGGAUUAGGAUUUGAUUAAGAUUUGGUUUAGGGUUUAGAAUUUGAUUUAGAAUUUAAGGUUUGGUUAGGAUUUGAUAUAGGAUUAGGAUUUGAUUAGGAAUUGAUUUAUAAUUUAGGAUAUGGUCAAGAUUUGAUUUAGGAUUUAUAAUUUUAUUUGAGUUUGUUUAAGAUUUAGUUAGUUUUUCGCCUAAAGUUUGAAUGAAAUCCAAUAGGAUUUCAACUAGGAUUAAAUUAAGAUUGAAUUGAGAUGUAUUUGAGAUAUAUU